GGCUUUUUAUCAAGGCAAUGCCUCAAACAAACAGAAUUGAGUGACGUCAUGGAAACCUCCACAGGUGUCAUCUCUGCAGCAGAGUUAUGGUACAAACAGAGCUGUUUGACGGGAUUCUCCUCAGCCAUCCGUCUAACGCCGCCGAGCAUGCCGCCGCCACGCUGAAAUGAAUCUGUCUGGGUGUCUGUCAAGUUGUACAUCUUCCCAAAGGUGCACCAACACAUGCUCGAGCGGUGAGAUCUGUUAAUUGUUUGUGCCUCUUUUUCCCAUCCUUAACGUCACAAAAUAGGUUGAAUCGUGAGUCAGUGUCUCAUUUUCUGGCUGCUGAUGUUAGAAGAGUAAAUGAGGUCAGAUAAUAGGAUAUUAACCUGGAUAUAAGAGAUGAUUGUCAAGAUAAAACAUGUUGAGUGGAAAGGAUUUGCUUUGGGAACAGGCUCAGAUCUUCUGACAUCAAAAUGAAAUGGUUUUAAACUUGUACAAAGUUUUUAGCCUUGUAUAUAUUUGGAGCACACUGUUUGUAAGAUUUGAUUCAUUGUUGACCUUUCAUUUGACACAAUGAAGGGUCAUCUUUGUCCAGAUCUUUGCAUUUGUCUGUCCUAGGUGCUAGGUGCUAAUGCUAGGUGUUAGGUUGGGGUUAGGGUUGGGCUUUCAGGUCUUUGAGGUCUUGGUCCCAGUUCUGUUCAAUUUUUGGGGCUUGGUGAUUGUCUCUGGCUCCAGACCUGUCACUUGGUGACACAGGUGCCAUUGGCCCUGGGGUGGAUGUGUCAAGACCUCCUGCCUUUGUUGGGGUAGACGGAAUUACCUAUCUACCCCACAAGGAGGAGAGCAUUUUACCCCCUUGCAGUCCUCCCUUCCCAAUGCUCCACUCAGUCCUUCACACCAACACUUAGGUAGGGGUUUGAAGUGCAAAUAUGUCAGGGUUAGGGGUGUGGAGAUGCUUCUGGAGAACCUCAGUCCUUCUUCAAAAUCAUUGUAGGUUAAGUUAUUUUACUUUGAGAAAAAAAAUGAGUUCAAACAAAAGUAUAGAAGCCUCAAAUUAUCAUCAUGCCCGUGAUAAGAGUGCAUGUAAAUGUCUGACUGGAACAGGAGACUUAAUCCUGCUCCUCACAGGUUAAAUGAUCUGCCUGAGCCGACAUUGAUCCCCAAGCACAAUUAAGGAGACUCAAUGACUUUGGUUUGUUCUAUUAAUGAGUCCUGUCUGAACAGUUUGCACCGGGGACAGGAGACCUAGUUUAUCCUGUCGACCUCCCACAGCUGCCGCUGACGCACUCCGGCAUCAAGCUGAGUCUGAGGAUUUGACGUGUGCAAACAAGGCCGACUAGAUAAAGAAGCACGUUUUUGUGGAGGGGGAAAGAGAAGCAGGUGCACCGAGCUGCAGCAAGAAGAACACUGUCCGUCAUCCUGACUAAAGAGAGAGAAGCAAAGACAUUUGGAUCCAUCUUGGAGUUGUUUUUUUUCAGCAGCCGCCUUUAGGAGCAGCAGCCAUGGAGCCAGUCUCUCAGACGGUGGAGGCAACGGACGCCCAGAGGCCACAUGCGUCCACUCACUGGAGAUUCGUGCCAAAGCGGGGAGCCUCCUCUCAGUUCGUGGGGAGCACCAUCAUGAUUUUAUCCACUUAUGCUGUAGCCACCAUGACCAUGAAUUUGGGGAAAAACCUCCAGGACAGAAGAAUGAGACCAAACGGCAGCUAGAGUCUAAAGGACCUGGACACUGCCUUUACUGCCGAAAUGGUUCACCCCACUUCCACCGACUCAACCCAUCAAACUUCACCUCUACGCUGCCAAGAGGAGGUGAUAGUUUCAACGGAUUUUACGCUCCACACUGGAAGUUCAUGAAUGGACAGUAAAAUGGAAGCAGUUCUGCCAUAAGGCCAUGCGGUGGCGGUGUUGGACCCCUUCCUGUCCCAGUCUGCUGCCGCCAGGUCAAGCCACUGCCCCAAAGGAGGCUGUCCCUGUAUUGGUUCAGCUUCUGCUUUAGCAACAUGGACAUAAUCGACCAAAACCCAUGAAAAGACACAAGUUCUGUGACCAAAAUAACCAUCCAAACAAAUUACCCAUCUGUUUGACAUUGCCUUGAACAUUUUUUGGUGAAUGUGUUGUCUGAGUUUGCUUGAUGUAGAUAAAAAAUGAUGGGCAGAUAAUAAUAAAAAAAAAUUCACUCUGGAAU